AUGAGAAAUAAAUCCAUCAUAUCAAUUAGCAUCCGGAGUAUCGUGCAUGAUUUAGUUAGCUUAAUUGACUUUCCUGUUAACACGGAUGAUGCAUUUAAGUAAUUGAACCCCUAAAAUCCAUCGUUGUCUCCCACUAAACCCAUUUAAAUCUAAUCAACAGAUACCAUACCUCAUCCCAUCACCACAAACGGCUCGUCCUCUUGCUGUUGCAUAACCCAAUAAAGUCCUGUCGAUGCCAACGCAUGCCGCAUUAUAGAGCUAAUAGCACUGAAAUAGGUCUCUCUGAAUAUGGAGAAAAGCAAGUCAUUCAACGGUUACUCUGCAUCUUACUCGGAAAUGAGGCUCGGGUUUGAGGAACGGUCCAAGUCGUACAGCUUCAAUGGCCCCAGCAAUGCCCUUGACGGGUUGGAGAGUUCCGGCAACCCGGAGCUCAAGAGGAGGAGGAGGGUGGCCAGCUAUAACAUGUACACGAUGGAGGGCAAGCUCAAGUCCUCGCUGCGCAACAGUUUCAAGUGGAUCAAGAGCAAGUUCUCCGACGAUUCCUACCCCGUGUAAAAUGCAACAGAUGCUACUCUUAUUCCUUCUUUCUGCUGCACAUUGGAGUUCGGUUUGAAACUCUUAUAAACAAUCAGAAGCUGGAGAAUAUGACAGCUUAGACGGGGAAUGCGAUUCCAUGGCUCAUAAACUUGUGUAUCUACUAAGAAUGUUCAUUGCUUCGAAUCUUCUCUUUUUGCUCCGUAAAUGUAAUGGGGUUGAGAUAAUUCAAGUUGAGUGAAGAUGGGAUGUGAUUGCAGUGUUAAA